UCAUUAACUAUUCCCGAUAAAUUGACAAAAUCAAGCUCACAGUGGUAGACAGCUGAUUCUCAGUGGAAAAGGACAAAGGAUCCGUCAGACAUGUCUGGUGAUACUGUAAAUCAGCAUAACCUUUGAUGGGACACAGUCACGCAAAAUGUGACAACCAUAAAAUUCUGACCAGCAAUUCCACUUUUGAAAACAGCCCCAAAGAGACAGGACAAAGGUGUCUCUGCAAGUGAAAUGGAAAGGAAACCUGAAACAGAGAAUCUCCAAAGGGUCCUUAUGAGACACUCCAGGGGCUAGUCCUAGCAGCAAGGCCAGGUAAGUUGUCAACCUGAAAAGGUAACUCUGAGAAGGACAACUGAGGCAUGGAGGAAAUGUGAAGCCACAGAAGGAGCAGAGGCCGGGGCAAGAAGCACAGAGCCUGGAGAUUGACCCCACCUAACCCUAGGGCUCUGAGUUUCUCCUUCCAGCCUUCCCCUGCUCACCGCCUGGAAGCAUACCCAGCCAGUCCUGGCUGAAAGUCCCUGCUGGAGCCUUGGAGAUGUAACUAGACUCUUCUAGCAGCCAAUGUUGGCGCUCCACCCAGACCCACUCAGCUUCCUUCUUACUGUGUGCUUGUGUUUUGCUUGGCUGGGAUGACUAUGAGAUGUCACUCACACUCUAGAUAGAGUCCCCUGCAAGAUCCAGUGGGAACCCCCCUCCCUGGGGCUUUUAUCUCAGAUUGUACCUGUUACAGGUUGAAUUGUAUCCCCCCAAAGUAUAUACCCAGUGCCACACAAUGUGACUGUAUUUGGAAAUAGGCCAUUGCAGAUGUAAUUAGUUAAGACAGUGGGCCCUUUAUAAGAAAAGAGGAAUCUGGGCAUGGAAACAGAGACACACAAGAAGCUAGCCAUGUGAAGACUGAAGCAGAGAUUGGAUUUAUGGGAGUUACUGGAGCUACCACAAGCCAAGGAAUACCUGGGGCCACUACAAGCUGGAAGGGGUAAGGAAGGAUUCUCCCCUAGAGACUUUAGGGAGCAUGGCCAACCAGCACCUUGAUGUGGGACUUCUGGCCUCCAGGACCAUGAGACAAUAAAGUUCUGUUGUUUGAAGCCCCCCAGUCUGCAGUGCUUCGUUUUGGCAGCCCUGAAAGCCCACCUUCAUCUCAGCCUCUGCCCUGUCCUGGCCUGCUUCUGCAGCUUCCUCAUCUCCCUGGAGGCACUUUUUUAAAAAAUGAUUGCCCACAAAUCCUGGCCUGAAGAAGCCAGUGUUGGUGUCUAAACCCACACUCCUUCUCACCAACACUGGAGCUCUGAGGAGCAGGGAGAUCCGGGUCUAAAGCGCCAAGUGCACUGCAGAGACUGCGGAGACCACAGGGGCGUGGCGCCGGCCCCAGGAAACCAUGAGUCAACCUUGAAAGGGGAAAGCCUGGCCACACCAAGGGGCGCCAAAAGGGGAAUUUCCAAGUCAUCACUCUACUCAAUAUAAACGAAUCGCCGGGUCCUUCCAUCAUUCAACAAGAGCUUUCUGAGCAAUUACUCCAAACAUCCCCAGGUGUGGUGGGAAACACAGAUCCUUCCUUGAAGAAGCAGGGAGGGGCUUUGACUGUGAAAGCCAUUGAUUUCUUGUGAUCUGCAUGAAGACAGUCACCCGGGGCUCACGUGCUGGUGCUGCUUCUCCUUUGCCAACCGUCCUGGCCCAUCCUGAGCUCUGCCCCAACUUGGGCCCAUCUUCCUCCUCUGGCCUUAUGACACAGUGGCCGGGCUUUCCGAUGCCCUGCCUGGGACCACGCCACCGCUGCCUGCUGUCUCGGGUCUCACAAAACCCAGGGCGUGCUGAGCAGAAGGAACCUCAUUCCAAGCCCUUAUUCCAAGAGGGGAACGUGGAGGCCCGCACAGGUCAAUAACCAGUUCAGUGUCACACAGCAUCUGUGACCGGAAUUCAAGUCACUUUAUGAAUAACACAUCUAAGGUUGUGGGAUAUGGUACAAGUUGGGAAUCCUGCAGAUCCGAGCUGGAAUCAUCCCACUCCAGAGACCUUGGGCACAUUACUAAGCUUGCCUGAAUCCCUUUGCCGUCUAUAAAAUAGAUCUCACAGCAUCUACAUCAUGAGUCAUGUCAAGGCUAAAAUGGGAAAACCUAUGUUAUCUUAGCACAAUUCCUGACACAUACUAGUAGACAAUGUAUGAUAACUAUUACUUAAUGAUAGUUAUACUUACAAAAAUUAUCUUAUUAUUCUCUAGUUAUUAUUCUCAUUCUCCAGUUGCCUCCACUUUAGUAAGCAAAAUUCUGUAGAAUAUUACUUUCUUUUGUUUGUUUUUGAGACAGGGUCUCGCUCUGUCACUCAGGCUGGAGUGCAGUGGUACAAUCUCGGCUCACUGCAGCCUCAACCUCUUUGGCUCAAGCGAUUCUUCCCCCUCAGCCUCUCAAGUAGCUGGGACUACAGGCACAUGCCACCAGGCCUGGCUAAUUUUUGUAUUUUUUUUUUUUUUUUUUUUGUAGAAACAAGGUUUCACUAUGUUGCCUGGACUUGUCUUGAACUCCUGAACUCAGCGAUCCACCCGUCUUGGCCUCAAAGUGCUGGGAUUACAGGCGUGAGCCAUCGUGCACAUCCAGAACAUUAUUUUCUUUUAUGUCUGGGACUAGCAUCUGUAAAGUUUCUCUGUAAAGAGCCAGAUAGCAAAUAUUUUAGAUUUUAGGUUUUGUGGGCUAGGUCGUCUCUGUCAUAACUAUUCAACUUAGCCACCGUUGCACAAAAGAAGCCAUAAAUAAUAUGUGAGCAAAUAUGUGUGGUUGUGUUAGAGUGAAACUUCAUUUACAAUAACAAGUGUCCAACCAGAUUUAACCUGCAAGCUGCAGUGUGCCAAUACCUGAUCUAGGACCCUUAUAAUUGAUGAUCACACAGUCGUAUCUGACACAAAGCCAAAAAAAACCUAAGUGAAUUUAGCAUAACUUUAAAGUGUAUUUUAUAAUAUUUUUAAAGUCGAUAAUCUGUGUCUAACAGAAAUUUGAUCAAUCAGAAAUUUUAUUAAGAAUGACAAUAAGCCAGGAGCAGUGGCUCACGCCUGUAAUCCCAGCACUUAGGGAGGCUGAGGCAGGUGGAUCACCUGAGGUCAGGAGUUCGAGACCAGCCUGACCAACAUGGAGAAACCCCGUCGCUACUAAAAAUACAAAAUGAGCCUGGUGUGGUGGCACAUGCCUGUAAUCCCAGCUACUCAGGAGGCUGAGGCAGGAUAAUUGCUUGAACCUAGGAGGUGGAGGUUGUGGUGAGCUGAGAUCACACCAUUGCACUCCAGCCUGGGCAACAAGAGCGAAACUCCAUCUCAAAAAUUAAUAAUAAUAAUAAUAAUAAUAAUAAUAAUAAUAAUAAUGACAAUAGUAAUAAUUAGCACCAGACAAAGCAUUUUACAUACAUGAUCUCAUUUAAUCUUCACUACAGCUCUGUGAGGUAGGUAUUAUUAUAUAAUAGCUCCAUUUUACGAGUAGCUAAUCUUCAGAGAAGUUAGGUAACUUGCCCAAGGUUAAUGGUAUCUUGUGGAAGAGCAAAGAUUUGAACCCGGGGCUGCUGGACUCCAAAGCCCAUGCUUUUAUACCCUAUUCUUUACCACCUCCCAUCCUGGGGCCACACUGGGAAACUGAGGUUACUAUUUAACAGCACCUCUAUUAAUAAAGAAUGUGUGCCCCAAUGACACGUGCAUUUGUCAGGAACUUCAUCACUAGGGUGUUGGACAGGCGGGAACUAGGAUGUCAGGAAAUGAGGACUACAGGGAGUACUAUUAAAUGCUAACUAAAAUAAUAUCAAGUGUAGCUCAAAAUACAAAAAUAUAAAUAUCUAGGAAUUAUAAAAUGAGGGUUUAAGGAGAAGAGAUGGAAGGCAGCACAGGCAGAGAAUUCUAGAACUGGUUGUGUAAAUGUCUGAACCAGUCUAGGUGUAAGCAAAUAGAGAAAGGUGGUGAAUUGGAGAGAACAUUCCUGACUAUGAUAUGUUUCCACAAAUAGUUACUGCACACCUGCUCUAUGCCAACUGCUCUAUGCUAUUUUAAGUGUUGGGAAUUAGGUUAAAAAAAAGAAAGGAAAACAGACAAAAAAUCACUGCCUUCAUGGCAUUUACAUCCUAUUGAGGAAGAAAAAGGUAGUAAAAUAAAUAAGAUAAUUUAUAGAAUAAGGGAUAGUACUAAGUUUGAAAGAGAAAAAUAAGAGAGAAAAGAGGAAAUCUAUUGUCUGCAAUUCUUUGAAUGAAAGUUUUUUAUUCCAAAACAGGAUAAAUAUGAGUUUGCCUGGGAGCAGUAAUAUGUCAAAAACUACUUAACCAAAAGUGUAAUGAACAAUUUAUUGGCAAGUAUAAACACUAGAAUUUUUCCAUAGUGACAAAUGGAAGGGGAAAAGGAAGAAAACAGGACAGCAAGCAUUAAACCAAGGAUGGGGAUGUG
rnacentral:lncRNA from 10 species